UGUAGAUUCCAGCAACCUCCAGCCUGAGCUCCUGGAUGUCCCAACUAAGAAAUCCGUCUUCUGCAUAGUAUUUAUGUAUGUAAGCAUUGUUUUUAGUAGAUGCUGACCCUGUUUGAAUGCUUCUAGACUAAAUAGUGAACUGCCUUGUGUUGUCAUUCCCCACAGUACUUGUAACCUCUCCUGCCUGUGUUUGGAUUUCUUCCAGAGAGCUAGCCGUUCCUGCAGGCAGGCACUAAAGGGAGAGGAAGGCAGCUGGGAUGGAGUGCAAAUCAGGAAGCAGGCUGAAAUGUGGUGCACUCCUGAAUCUCCAAAGAAAAGGGCAUCUUAGACCAGCUCCCUCCAUUUCCACUUUGCCAUGUGCUACACACAGAGAAACAGUUACACAAAUCCAGGCGAUGGGCUGUGUGUUCUGCAAACACUGCAGAUGCUGAGCUGGAAAGUAUUUUGCUCUCUUGCAGCAGCUUUCCUAUGGAGUGGGUGACGUCUACGGGCCCUGUCUGGUGAGUUAGUGAGGUUCUUUCUUUUGUGCUUAAAUAUAAUCUGGCUUUUGAGAGCUGGGUGAUGUUUCCAGUCCUCCAGUUCACCUCAGGUCAAAGCAAACUAGCAUGUGUUGAAGGUACAGCUGGACAGCCUGUAAUCACUUCAUACUGACUGAGCAGUGGUGGUUGAAUUCAUUAUUAACAAAGGAAGAGAGUGUGCAUCACUGAAGCCAGCACUAAUGUCUUGCCACACGUGUUCAUGAGUCUCAGAUUUGGUGACUUAAUGGUGAAAAGAUGAAUUUUGAGGUGAAAAGGUAAACGCUGGCCUUCAUCUCUUCUGGAUUAGGGUUCCUCCUCUCAUGUGCACUAGAAGAGACAGAAGAGACAGUAGGAUCAUUAAGUUGCUGGGAAAGUCAUUGCCACCAGAUAGUGAUGAAAUUGUUAAAGCAGACCUUUCUCCUGCCCUCCCCUGGAUAGUAUGAGGCAGUUUUUCACCUUCUGCCUUGUCAUUCCUUUAAUUUUCAUCAAAGCAUGAAAUGCUACAUAUCCUUGCAUGUUUAAAAAAAAAAA
rnacentral:lncRNA from 1 species